AGAGAAUACUCAGGCGCUUGAGAGAACUCGGGUGAAGGAACUAGGCAAAAUGGUGCCGUAACUUCGGGAGAAGGCACGCUGGCGGUAGGUAAAGUCCCUUGCGGACGGCGCCCAAGCCAGUCGAAGAUACCAGCUGGCUGCAACUGUUUAUUAAAAACACAGCACUGUGCAAACACGAAAGUGGACGUAUACGGUGUGACGCCUGCCCGGUGCUGGAAGGUUAA
rnacentral:rRNA from 1 species